GUCCACGCUGUAAACGAUGGGCGCUAGGUGUGGGGGUUUUAAUCCCUCCGUGCCGCAGCUAACGCAUUAAGCGCCCCGCCUGGGGAGUACGGCCGCAAGGUUAAAACUCAAAGGAAUUGACGGGGCCCGCACAAGCGGUGGAGCAUGUGGUUUAAUUCGACGCAACGCGAAGAACCUUACCUAGGCUUGACAUCUGGGGAAUCUCAUGGAAACAUGGGAGUGCGGAGCAAUCUGAGCCCCAAGACAGGUGCUGCAUGGCUGUCGU
rnacentral:rRNA from 1 species